GUGUUUUCUUUUUCUGCUUUUUUUUUCAAUCUCACCCUGAGAUCAUGGCAAAGAAUGGAAAGAAAAAAAUAAUAAUAAUGAGAGUCUGACUUAGUAAAAGUGAAGUUCUUUCUCUUUUGGUAUCACAAAAACAGAGAAGUCCCCAGGCCUUUCAUGUGUAUUCUGGAAGGAAUGCCUGCUUCCAAACAUGUUUCUUUCAGGGACUUCUUCAGGGACUGCCUGAUCCCUGCACAAUGCUCCUGCUCCUGAUCAAAGAAAAGACAUGUGAUUUUGCAGUCUCCUUUAGCUCUCCUUCAUGGAAAUGAUUCUCUUGAUACCGAAACUAAAACAUCGUCUAGGCAUGGCUGAAAAGGAUGUGGGGCUGAGUUGCAAUGAAUAUCUAAAGUUCCCAGAGCUAUGACACAGAGGGUUAAUUAUCUAUCAAGUGCCUUUUACCUCCUUGCUGGGACCAUCACAUUCUAUUUACUUUAAAGUCCUUCCAGAAAUACUUAAGGAGAUAACAAAUCCCACCUGAUCACUGGAAUUUAGAAGGGGUUGGAUACACAAAGCCGACAUCCAGCAUGAUCGAUGCAUCUCUCUCCGACUUGUCCAAAACUCCAAUUUGCUUUUUGCACAUAAUUUUACUAAAAAAUAAGAAUUGAAGUUAGACCUGUUUCUAUGUUCAUAUCUAUUAGCGUGCCAGUAGUUCCUCUUGAAAAAUCCUGCAUUUUCACUCAUUCCUGGAGGCUCUGCUAUCCAAGAGAAAAUUUUUGUAGAAUAUGAUCAUUUCUAAACCAAAAUGUUGAUUCCCAAUUGCUACUGUUUAUUUAGUUUUCAGUUAGAACUGAGGCCAUCUGGUAGAAACAAUCAGUUAACAUAUUCAUUAAUCUGGAUUAACUACUGAAAACGCUAGCUUAUUUCAUGGAUCUCCCUUGUGUAUAAAGGAACAUUUAGUGAUGACCAUUGGGUUAUGAUGAAUUUGAACUCCUGCAAUUAGGUGUAACACCAUUUAUUUAAAUAAAAUUAUGGGCCACAUCUAUUUGAGAUAUUCACUAUCUUUCAGCUUCUCUAAAAUCUGGCAAUUUUCUUGUAAUAAUAAAUUACAGAGUAAGAAAAAAUAAGAUUAGUAACUGACAAAAGAAGGCAUAACAAAAAAAAAAUGAGUGACACUAAUACUAAUAACAUGCAGCAGUUGCAAAGCAUCUCCUAUAUGAUAAACACUGGGUUCCACACUCUAUGUCAGAUACCUCAUUUAAUCUUCACAAAUAGCAUAUAAAUUUGAAAUAGAAAUUGUAUUUCCAUGUUACUAAUGAAAAAACUGAGGUCAGAGGGGUUACGGGAUAACCUACUCAAGACUGUAAUUGCAAUACCAGACGGAUGUGUGUGAUGUAUCAAAGUGGGCAGAGCUGGGCCUCAAGGAAUCUGUUUUGUGUCAUGUCGUAACACAUGCUUCUAACCUUUAGUAUGGAUUUGGCACAGUCUCUGUAUCUUAGUAUCACUCAUUGACUAUUUUAGUCCUCGGCAGAAGCACCCACUUGACAGGUGCUGUGGGGAAUUUCUUCCCAUGGCACACUUAGGGCUCAUCAUAAAAAAGUGGGGUCUCAUAAAUGUGAUAUUGUGUUAUAGUUAGUUCCUAGAGGAAUUGCAUUUGUCCACAUAACGUCAUCUUUGUUCAAAUAUUUAAUUAUGUUUUUUAUUUGAUCAAAAGGUGUGAGUUUUGCAUACAUACACACACACACAUAGAUACACACACACAUACACACUGGCUAGAUUUAAAUAAGCAUUGAUUUUUAGCACAGUAUUGGUCUAGAAUCACUGAUUGUUUUUAUUAUGAAAGAAAAAUUUACAGAAAAGUUUUAUGUUCAUAGCUGUUGAUGUGAAUCAUGUUUUGAUUAUAAUAUCAAAAUUUAGGUAGCUAAUGUCUACAAUCAAUUUGUAAUAGAUUUUUACAAGAUAUUUAUAGUCUGUCAUCUUGAACUGCAUAACUGAGAAUAAAUUUAUAUCAUGUAAUGCUUUUAUAAAAUAUUCUUUCUUUUUUGGGGGAUUUUAAAAAAAAUGUUUUAUUGCAUUUUAGGUUUUGGGGUACAUGUGCAGAACGUGCAAGACAGUUGCAUAGGUACACACAUGGCAGUGUGUUUUGUUUCCUUUCUCCCCUUCACUCACAUUUGUCAUUUUUCCCCAGGCUAUCCCUCCCCAGCUCCGCCCCCCCCCCCGCCCUCCCCUUUUCCCUCAAAUAGACCCCAGUGUUUUGUGGCGAUUACUCAAGGCCUUAGAAACAGAAAUUCCAUUUGACCCAGCAAUCCCAUUACUGGGGAUAUAUCCAAAGGACUAUAAAUCGUUCUACUAUAAGGACACAUGCACACGAAUGUUCAUUGCAGCACUGUUUACAAUAGCAAAGAUCUGGAACCAACCCAAAUGCCCAUCUAUGAUAGAUUGGAUUGGGAAAAUAUUCUUUCAUUUUUUUAAUGAAGAGCAAUCAUUGUCAUGUUUUUUUUACAUAUCAUUUCACAUUGUACCAUACACAUUAGAAAUUUGGCCCAUACUGUGGUAACAUCAAAAAAUAAUGAAUAAAUUAAUCUCAGCCAGUUUGUGUGUGUGUGUCUGUGUGUGUGUGUGUGUGCGUGUGUGUGUGUUAAACAAUAAUUGUUUAGGUCAAAAAAAAAUUCUAGAAGUCAAGGACAAGAACUGUGUCUUAAUCAUUUUUGUUCCAGCAAAACAUUGAAAUGUAUAUCCUCCCAAAUAGAAAGAUUUAGCAGCAUAUACUGCUAUUUUGCCUCUUCUUUUAAUGCUAAAAUAUUUGUAUUAAGUUUUUGUUUGCAAACAAUGAGAAACCAUCAGUUAACUCAAAAAGAAAAAAGUUCAAUAGAAGGAUAUCAGCAAAUGCACAGGGAGGCGAGUGUACCAGAGGAGGCUGGCCAAGAGCAAAUAAGGAUCCCAUCCUGGCUUCUAGCUCUGCCUUUCAUCUUAAGAAAGAGACGCUGCUGCCUCCACUUCAAAAUAAAUGGUGAAAUAUCUACACCUUUCUCAUUACUCACAGAAGGUUACAAGACCUGAGCAAAAACAUUGAUUGGCCACGGAGAAGCCAGGUCAUGUGACCACGUUUUAGUUACCAGAAAAAGUAGGAGGAGUGACUACUGGACAUUUUUAUUUCUGGGUUUGGAGCAGCAGAAACAAAAAAGGUGACAAAUGUCUCUUGGGAAAUAAUUAAAUGGGGUUGAUCAUCUAUUGAUUUCAGUGAAGAGUUAUUUUCACUACUAGAAUAGGCUCAUUUUGGAGGGGGAAAACAAAAAUAAAUUAGGCCAGAAAAACUAUUCAGACAUGUGUGUGUGUGUGUGUGUGUGUGUGUGUGUGUGUGUGUAUUUUUUUGGGGGGGGGUUACUGUAACUUUGAGAUCAAAACCAUAACCAUUCCCCAGUGAAAAUGAGAAUGUUCAAACUAUUUAGCACUUUUCAGGUAGGAGAACUUGUCUGUCCAAGUGCAGUUAGUGAGCUAAAUGAAUGGAACAGGUUUAUCAUAAUAACUUAUAAGCUUCUUCUCACUUUUGUAUUCCUGGGACUUACAAGACAAAUAGAAAUCAAAAUCACACUUUUAAAUUAUCUGUGGGUCUCUUUUCAAGUUUGAAAGAUGAUUUCUUACAAAACGUUUCAAUAAAAACUGAAGUCAUAACCAAGUUUUCCAACAUAGCUGUUGCAGUCAUUUCUGCCCAGCCACACUCUUCCAAAAGAAAAAAAACCCAGUGAAUCUGAUAAAAUCUUAUAGGUGUGACCACAUAAACAAUACAUGAUUUUAAAAACAUAGGAAAUUCUUACACAAAUGGUCAAUUGAACUGAAUGUCUGGAGUGAUGAGAUUAAAUGUACCAGGGCUUUACACCUAUGCAUGAAGUUUUAACACGUCAACUUGACAUCAAUUUGACUUGUGUAUUUUACUAACACUUUGGUUGUUUAAGCAUUUUCAAUUUUCAAAAACUGCCUUUUUCUCUCAGUAUCAUAAAAUAAUAAUGAUUGUACCCAUCAUCAACAUUAACAUAGCUUUGUGAAAUCAGAUACUUUAAACCAAUGAUUUAUUUUGUCUUUAUAAUGACAUGAUAUCAGCUUUUUAAAAUGUUCUUUUUAUUUUAUCUGCUGGACUCUCACUAUAUUAUUUAAUCAUAAUGGGGAUAGUGAAUAUCCCUGCCCAAACAGUCUCUAAGCUGGUGCCUGUCAUCUGAUUAGUAACACAUAAAUCUCUGUUGAAUUUGAUGAAAAAAUCAAAAAUUUCAAAUUCAGAUGAAAUCUCUGAAAUUUGAUGAAGAAACUAUUUAUUAUGUAAUGCUAGAUUAAAAGCAAGAUGUAACAAAAUGUUAUAUAGAAGAAGUCAGUCAAGAAUGAAUACAUCCUAUAUAAUUCAAUUUUAUGAACUUCGAGAACAAGAAAAAUUUAUACAGGUGACAGAUAUCAGUUUAUCUCUGGAAAGAGUUUUGACUGGAAAGGCCAAGAAGAAGCCUUUAGGGGUACUGCAAGUGUUCUUAUCUUGUGCUAUAUGCAUAUUAAAUUCUACCUAAAACCAAAUCAUAAAAUGAUAUGCAUGUAGAAUUCCUGAAAAUUUUAAAUAUAUGUGUGGGAGUAUUUAAUUAUUUUGGAAAACAUUCAAAUAUAUUAAAGAUCUUUUUUUCUUAAGAUGCUGUA